AUGCCUAUGAAUUAUUCACUUGUUAUUGAGCCAUUUGAUGUUUGGGGCUUUCAUUAUAUGGGACCUUUUCCCGCCUCUAAUGGUUACACUCAUAUUCUAGUUGCUGUUGAUUACGUUACUAAGUGGGUAGAAGCUAUUCCAACUAGUAAUGCUGAUCAUAACACUUCUAUUAAAAUGCUUAAGGAAGUUAUUUUUCUGAGGUUUGGAGUCCCUAGAUACUUAAUGACUGAUGGUGGUUCACACUUUAUUCAUGGUGCUUUCCGUAAGAUGCUUGCUAAAUACGACAUUAAUCAUAGAAUUGCAUCUCCAUAUCACCCGCAGUCUAGUGGUCAGGUAGAAUUGAGCAAUAGAGAGCUCAAAUUAAUUUUGCAAAAGACUGUCAAUAGGUCUAGAAAGAAUUGGUCCAAAAAACUGGAUGAUGCUUUAUGGGCCUAUAGAACUGCGUACAAAAAUCCUAUGGGUAUGUCUCCGUAUAAGAUGGUUUAUGGAAAAGCAUGUCACUUACCUCUCGAACUAGAACAUAAGGCAUAUUGGGCUAUUAAAGAGCUCAACUAUGAUUUCAAACUUGCCGGUGAGAAGAGGUUAUUUGAUAUUAGCUCACUUGAUGAAUGGAGAACCCAAGCUUAUGAAAAUGCCAAGCUGUUUAAAGGAAAAGUUAAAAGGUGGCAUGAUAAAAGGAUACAAAAGCGAAGUUUAAUGUAG
rnacentral:rRNA from 1 species